AGCCUUAUAGUCAAUAAUGAUAUAAAAUUGCAACUUUUAAGGAGUAUAAGCUAUAUUAAGGCUU
rnacentral:tRNA from 1 species